AUGAAAGCGAUGCUCGCCGGAAAGAAGCCAUCCGGGCCAAGGUGGGGCAGUACAUCUCCCGAGCGGAGGAGCUGAAGGCCUUGGUCACCUCCAGCAGCAAGAGCCUCCUGCAGCAAGGGAACCCGGCCAGAGAGCUCCUUAAAGAGAUGGCCAAGGACAAGCCUCGGCUCUGCGCU